rnacentral:rRNA from 1 species
GACGUAGGGCGCGAGCGUUGUCCGGAUUUAUUGGGCGUAAAGAGCUCGUAGGCGGCUUGUCGCGUCGUCCGUGAAAACCUGGGGCUCAACCCCAGGCUUGCGGUCGAUACGGGCAGGCUAGAGUUCGGUAGGGGAGACUGGAAUUCCUGGUGUAGCGGUGAAAUGCGCAGAUAUCAGGAGGAACGCCGGUGGCGAAGGCGGGUCUCUGGGCCGAUACUGACGCUGAGGAGCGAAAGCGUGGGGAGCGAACAGG